UACGAAGGGGGCUAGCGUUGUUCGGAAUCACUGGGCGUAAAGCGCACGUAGGCGGAUCUUUAAGUCAGAGGUGAAAUCCCGAGGCUCAACCUUGGAACUGCCUUUGAUACUGGGGAUCUUGAGUCCGGGAGAGGUGAGUGGAACUGCGAGUGUAGAGGUGAAAUUCGUAGAUAUUCGCAAGAACACCAGUGGCGAAGGCGGCUCACUGGCCCGGUACUGACGCUGAGGUGCGAAAGCGUGGGGAGCAAACAGG
rnacentral:rRNA from 1 species